UUACGGGAGGCAGCAGUAGGGAAUCUUAGACAAUGGGGGAAACCCUGAUCUAGCCAUGCCGCGUGAGUGAUGAAGGCCUUAGGGUUGUAAAGCUCUUUCGCUGGGGAAGAUAAUGACGGUACCCAGUAAAGAAACCCCGGCUAACUCCGUGCCAGCAGCCGCGGUAAUACGGAGGGGGUUAGCGUGUUCGGAAUUACUGGGCGUAAAGCGCGCGUAGGCGGGCUAUUAAGUCAGGGGUGAAAUCCCGGGGCUCAACCCCGGAACUGCCUUUGAUACUGGUAGUCUUGAGUUCGAGAGAGGUGAGUGGAAUUCCGAGUGUAGAGGUGAAAUUCGUAGAUAUUCGGAGGAACAUCAGUGGCGAAGGCGACUCACUGGCUCGAUACUGACGCUGAGGUGCGAAAGUGUGGGGAGCAAACAGGAUUAGAUACCCGAGUAGUC
rnacentral:rRNA from 1 species